GAUGAACGCUGGCGGCGUGCCUAAUACAUGCAAGUCGAGCGAACAGAUGAGGAGCUUGCUCCUCUGACGUUAGCGGCUGACGGGUGAGUAACACGUGGAAACCUACCUAUAAGACUGGGAUAACUUCGGGAAACCGGAGCUAAUACCGGAUAAUAUAUUUAACCGCAUGGUUCAAUAGUGAAAGACGGUUUUGCUGUCACUUAUAGAUGGAUCCGCGCCGCAUUAGCUAGUUGGUAAGGUAACGGCUUACAAAGGCAACGAUGCGUAGCCGACCUGAGAGGGUGAUCGGCCACACUGGAACUGAGACACGGUCCAGACUCCUACGGGAGGCAGCAGUAGGGAAUCUUCCGCAAUGGGCGAAAGCCUGACGGAGCAACGCCGCGUGAGUGAUGAAGGUCUUCGGAUCGUAAAACUCUGUUAUUAGGGAAGAACAAAUGUGUAAGUAACUAUGCACGUCUUGACGGUACCUAAUCAGAAAGCCACGGCUAACUACGUG
rnacentral:rRNA from 1 species